rnacentral:tRNA from 3 species
GCCGACGUAGCUCAGCGGUAGAGCGGUGCACUCGUAAUGCACAGGUCGUGGGUUCGAAUCCCACCGUCGGCUCCA